UUUUUUAUUUUAGUUAUCUUUUAAUCACUAAGAAAAUGUUAGAAAAUUGUUCUGAUAAAAAAAAAUGACAAAAUAACAUCCUUCUUGUCAUUCCAUUGAUUAGAAACAAAUAAAAAUUUGAUUCAACAAAUAUAUACUUGACAAUGGGCUAGGGUAUUUUGUUAGCAAACAUUCCAUAUUCAUGCAUUUCAUUUACCCAAAUAACAAAUCUAAUUUUGACAAAGUGAAAUAUCAUUUAGUUUUAAUGUUUAUACAUAUGAAUUAAUCUAUAAGAUAAAAUAUAUUUAAGAUUAAAAAGUUUCCUAGUGAUAAGGGAAUAAGUUAAUUAAGUUUGGUUUAAAAAAAAAAAAAAAGAUAUAUCCUACCAAACAUGUUUGGGCAAAAAGUGAUUUGGGGAUAAUUUAAACUUCCUUCUAUAUAAAACCAAAAUUGAGGACAUUUUCACUUCUGAAAUAAAGUUCUCUUUUUAGCAACAUAAACCUUGCUCAUUUUAAGAGAAAUGUGUCAAAUAUUUUAUAAUAUUUUAAAAAAAUAUUGUAAAAUAUUUAAAACUUUAAAAAUGUUUUCUCUUUAGUAUACAUCUUGUGAACUAGGGGAGUUAGGGUGUGGUGAAGGUCAUUUCAAAUACUAGAAGCAAAUUUAGAUCCAAAGGGUCCAGAGCAUUGGGACCAAAUCUUAUCACUGAGGCUUCCUUUGUAUUUCUUCACUCCCUCAUGGGCCUAUUAUUUUAAAAGAUUUUGCAUAUAUUAAUUUAUUGAUUAAAAUGGUCAAAGUAAGUCAUUAAAAUGAAAGAGAAGAUUAAAAUGCUCAAAGAGAGCAUAAAAAAAAUGGAAUAACCAGUGCUACCCUAAUGCGUUGAUAAAAUCCAGAAAAAGCAGAGACUACAUGUUUAACACUGGAAUUGUUCAACAGGUCAACAGAGGUAAUGAAAACAUCUUAUUCAGAGUUCAAUCAAACACUGUGAAUGUAACUUGGGAAAUGAAUGGCAUUCUAAAAUUGAGUUAAUAAAGGGUAUUCACCACAUGGGUUGAUUGUAGAGCUAAGUGAAGCAGCUCCAGUGGAAAGGCCGCCUUUUGAAACUGAUGAAGCCACAGAAGGUAUAGAAGAUGAAGUUGGUGUAGUAGAGGAGGUUGUUGAGGAUGGUAACCUUUCUCCAGACUCCAUAUCUAUAAGAGGGGAUGAGAAUGUUAAUUUUCAGUAUUAAAUAGUGGAAUUAAAACAAAGAAUGAACAUAUUUAAAAUAUCACUUAUAUCUGGAAUCUAAUAUACAGCACAAAUGAACCUUUCCACAGAAAAGAAACUCAUGGACUUGGAGAAUAGACUUGUAACCAAGGGGGAGGGGGAGGGAGUGGGGUGGAUUGGGAGCUUGGGGUUAACAGAUGCAGACUAUUGCCUUUGGAAUGGAUUAGCAAUGAGAUCCUGCUAUGUAUCACUGGGAACUAUGUGUAGUCAUUUAUGAUGGAGCAUGAUAAGGAGAGAGAAGAGAAUGUAUACUUUUAUGUGUCACUGGGUCACCAUGCUGUACAGUAGGAAAAAAAAUAAUGUAUUGGGGAAAUAAAACGAUAAAUAAAAUAAAGUAAGUUAAACUUUUAGGACUACUUCUUUAAAAUAUGAAAUAAUUUUAGAAAUACAUGUUAUUCAAAAAGUUAAAAUAUGAAAAUCAUUAAAAAUAUCAAUUCAUGAAAUAAAUUUAAUAUGUAAUAUACCAAAUAUUCUUCUAAUAGACACGCAAAGUUUCCUUACAUUAAAAACAUUAAUAGUUACUUGAAUAUAGUAGCUUCUUACAAAUAUGUAUUGCCACCACCUUAGGAAAAUUAACAUAUUAACUUCUUAUUCUUCUUAAAUUAUCUCAUACAUUUAUUUACAUCAAAUGCCCUUAUUAUCUUAAUGAAUCAGGAAAAUAUCUGAGUGGACUGUAAGCCUGAGUUCUAAAUCCAGAUAGUAACAGAUCUAUUGGUCUUCAACAUCCAAGAAUCUGACCUGGCAAUCCCCAAUACAGUGAGUGCCCCCAAAGAUACAAAUACAUUUUAGAGUUUCUGCUAGAGUUUGACCUAUGGUAUGAAAAUGGCCUUACUAUGAUGCACUUAUAAUAACUUAACCUUUUCUAAGUUUCCUUAUUAAUUUGCCCAGCUACUUUGAGUACAACCUUACUUUGGUCUUAUUUUAAUAGUCUAUAAACGUUGAUAUUAAAAAUCUAGAGUAGAAAUGGAUCAAAGGGAUUAGAAGGUACAAACUUCCAGUUAUAAAACAAAUAAGUCAUGGAAUUCAAUGUACAUACAGCACGAUGACUAUUGCUAAUAAUUCUUUGUUGUAUAUUUGAAAGUUGCUAAAAGAAUAGAUCCUGGAGUUCCCAUUGUGGCACGGUGGAAACGAAUAUGAAUAAGAACCAUGAGUUUGCGAGUUCAAUCCCUGGCCUCAAUCAGUAGGUUAAGGAUUUCGUGUUGCCAUGAACUGCGUGGUGUAGGUUGCAGACGAGGCUUGGAUCCUGUGUUGCUGUGGCUGUGGUGUAGUCAGAUUUUUUUUUUUUUGGUCUUUUUUAGGGUUUCACCUGUG
ensembl:lncRNA